rnacentral:rRNA from 1 species
AGCGAACGCUGGCGGCAGGCCUAACACAUGCAAGUCGAACGAGCCUUCGGGCUAGUGGCGGACGGGUGAGUAACACGUGGGAACGUACCUUUUGGUUCGGAAUAACGCAGAGAAAUUUGCGCUAAUACCGAAUGAGCCCUUAGGGGGAAAGAUUUAUCGCCGAAAGAUCGGCCCGCGUUGGAUUAGGUAGUUGGUGUGGUAAAGGCGCACCAAGCCUACGAUCCAUAGCUGGUCUGAGAGGAUGAUCAGCCACACUGGGACUGAGACACGGCCCAGACUCCUACGGGAGGCAGCAGUGGGGAAUCUUGCGCAAUGGGCGAAAGCCUGACGCAGCCAUGCCGCGUGAAUGAUGAAGGUCUUAGGAUUGUAAAAUUCUUUUACCAGGGACGAUAAUGACGGUACCUGGAGAAAAAGCCCCGGCUAACUUCGUGCCAGCCGCCGCAGUAACAC